CUACGGGUGGUUCCAGUGGGGAAUAUUGGACAAUGGGGGAAACCCUGAUCCAGCAAUGCCGCGUGUGUGAAGAAGGCCUGCGGGUUGUAAAGCACUUUCGGUUGGGAGGACUGCUUCUAGCACUAAUAUUGUUGGAAGUUGACGUUACCUUCAGAAGAAGCACCGGCUAGCUCCGUGCCAGCAGCCGCGGUAAUACGGGGGGUGCAAGCGUUAAUCGGAAUUACUGGGCGUAAAGCGCGCGUAGGCGGCUAGAUCAGUCGGGUGUGAAAGCCCCGGGCUUAACCUGGGAACUGCAUCCGAUACUGUCUAGCUUGAGUACAGGAGAGGAGAGUGGAAUUCCACAUGUAGCGGUGAAAUGCGUAGAUAUGUGGAGGAACACCAAUGGCGAAGGCAGCUCUCUGGCCUGAUACUGACGCUGAGGUGCGAAAGCGUGGGGAGCAAACAGGAUUAGAUACCCUAGUAGUC
rnacentral:rRNA from 1 species